AACAAGACCUUCUGGAGAAGCCCCAUCUCAUGAGGCUUCUGAGAAAACCUGAGGAAGCCUGGACACAGGCUUCCCAUGGCCAUUCCUUGUCACCAACCCUGAGAGAUACUGGCCGGAAGUCUGGAGUGCUGGGACUGGAACCCUGACCCGAGGCCUGGACCGCCACACUCCCCAUCUUGUUACAGAUUUUUAUUUUUUAUUAUUAGGAAAGUCAGAGGCUGCCAUUCUUUACAGGCUUUUCCCAUUAUGGUGUUAGAGUCUAUAAUUAGGUCUCUAUUAGAAAUCACCAGCAGUGCCCUAAUUCUUAUGUGGGUCAGGAGUCCACAGUGGCCGAGGCGUGGCUUUUUAGCUAUGAAUUCAGUGACUCAGGGAAGCAGGGGACUCUGUUACAAUAGCAGCUAAGCACGCGGCACCCAGCUAAGACAUUUAAUGUGUCCCCACUUAAUCUUCACUGAAACCCCACACGGUGAAGGCUGCUAUUAUCCUCCACACACAGAGGAGGACAAUGGGACUCGGAGAGGUCACAAAGCUUGCUGGGCUCCUGCAGCUGGUGAGUGGGGCCUCAGCAGACAGACUCUGCUCGCCCUCUCUCUGGGCUGACUUCUGCCCAGACGGCCACACCUUCCAGCUGGCCUGUCACCCCUCCCAGUGUGGCGCAGAGUGUGCUUCUGUAGGUAUGGGGCUGAUGGCCGACGGCUUGAAAGGAAUCAUCACCCUGCCCAGUACUGGAAAACAUGACCGAAACACGAACAAAUGGAAGCGAAGCUGCAGUAAGUCUCCUGCUUCUAGAAUAACCAUCUGCAGUUGCAAUUCCAUGAUACCCUGGCAUCUAAGAAGGAGUUUAGGAUCUUGCCUACCAUCUUUAGCUAUUACUUUAUGGGGAGAGGAUAUAUGUUCUGAAUUCCAAGUAAGUGACUUACACAGUGUUUGAAAACAGAGCCUAUUUGUAGCUAUGGGUGGGCUACUCAUGGUUUUUAACCAUUUUUUUUUAAGCUAUAGCAAUUUUUGUUCAAAUAACAUAUUGCUUGCCAGGCCACAGUAUAAAGGUUCUACAAUCAACAAGCACAGCUGAGAUGUAGGCUAUGGAGGUGGCCUAGAGCCAGCCCCCAUAUCAAGUUCUGCCAAACGCAGUAUAAACCCCUGGCUUAUACUAUUGUCGGUAUGGAUUUCUGAAGACCAGCUAGAUUAUUGGGUUGAUUGAGAAUAGUUUUGUGUCCUCCGCAUGGGACUGUUUGGGACACAUGAGAGACCUUUGGUGGAAGGCUUCUGUAUUAUUUUAAAUGUGCCUCUGUUUAAGAAGAAGCAAUCAUUUCAUGGUGAUGGGGGGUUAAUGGGGUAUUCCACUGAACCCUGAGAUAUUACACCUAUUGCUUUACAUGGAUCAAACAAAGCAGAUCAAAGUCAAGAUUUUCAGGAUUCUCUUAUAGGAUGAAAUUCCUCCAGGCAAAACUUUGAGGUUUUCACAGCCCUGAAAACUAGCCCUUGACUUUCUUCUGGCAACAAAAAAGGUCCUUUUAUUUGUGCCAAGCAGGAAUAUAUUUCUUCUCUGAAACUAUUUUACAGAUUACAUGUCAUUUCCUACUUUCCUUUUCUUUCUCAUAGUAAUUAUCUUCCUUUAAGACAAUGUCUGCACGGCGUAC
ensembl:lincRNA